rnacentral:lncRNA from 1 species
UGAAGUCUGAACUACAUACAUAAUGCUCAAUGAUAGAAAUUUAGUAUUGUUAAUGUAUAACAUAGAAGAUAAACAGAACAGAAGGCAUGAGUACUAAGCAAUUACACUAGACAGUUGCACCACCAAAUGCCCCCAUCUUAAUCCUGUCAUCACAUAGAUUGAGAUCUUCCUUAAUUCCAACCAACACAUGUAUUAUAGUUCCUAACAGCCUGAAAUAUACAAGUAACAUACCUGAACGGAUCCUCCCAAUAGAAAACCUUGGAUCUCACUAAUACCCCAACUAGCCGCAGCCACCUUUCAUUGUGCAUUCACAACAGCCGCGCUACACCAGCACCAC